GCUGGAGGGGCCCGGCCUGGGCGUCUGCGGGCCCAGCGGGAAGAGCCGUAACGGCCGGGUUGCGGCGGGGGUCGCUGCGAGGCCGGGAGGGGCUCUGUCGGGCCUCGCCCGCGUGGCCGUGCUCGCGGGGCUGCGGAGGAGAGGGGCUUUUCCAGGGGGCGCGUGGCAAGCGGUGGCUCCGGGCGGCUGCGUUCGGUGCUGCGCCGCUUCCUCGGGGCGCGCGGCUUCGCUGGCGUGGGAUGAGUGGCACUAAUCGAGCUUGGGGUUCACAGAUGCGUGGCUAGGCCUGUGUCCCGCAGGAGAUGGUGCAAUAUUCCUGCCCUUCGUCCAUGGAAGUAGCUGUUGUCCCUGUCCGGGCAUUUAGUAGCACUGCGGAGUCCCUGAAGACACCAAGGCAAUGGACAACGUCAUCUGAGGCCAGAGCCUCCCCCCCUGUGCGUGCGAUCAGUUCCCUGAAGACUUUCCCUUUUCCUCCCAGCCUUCUCUCAGACUCGACUGGAUUCACCUUUCCCUCAUCCAGGAGGAUAUAUGGAUACUGAGGAAAUGGAAUGCAACUGUCCCUCCCCUGCCCUCUCUUUUUAAGCUGCAGGUACCCAUGAUCAGAGUUUUGAGCCAACACUCCGCCUUCUCCCUCCUCCUACAAAACUACCAGUUGGGAUUGAUGGAGGGGAUAUACUUUAGGCCUUAUUUUAGCUGGAGUCAAAUAAAAAUAUUGCCAUGUUGGUCACUGAAGAAUAGGUAAAUGAUGUGGUGUAUGUUGUUGGAUCAAAAUGGCAAAAAUGUGUCUUACACCUCAUGGUUCCUCUUUCAGAUGCAUGUGGAUAUUACAAAAAAGCAGUUUCACCAAGUGCUGCAUUCUUUUGCUAGUUUCUUCACUGCCUGAGUCAGGAGCUGCUAGAAUAAUUUAUGCUAAGGAGGAGAAAUUAGGUCUUUUUUAAAGAGGGUUGGGGAUAUAUAAUUGGAGAACAGCUGUCUAAGCUUUUCAUAUUAAAUCUGGCCUAGAUCUGUGCAGCUGGAACCACUUCAUAUUAAGCAAAAGUGGUAAGUAUUUUGAUGGAGUACUUAAAUGUUUGUUUUUUCCCCUCUGUGAAAGAUUUUAGCAGAUAACAUACAGAACAGUGUUGUCAGAUGAAUCAGACUGCUUUUUCAUCUUUAUGACAGGCUGCCUGACCAGCCAAUAGUGAAGUGUGAUGUGCAGAUUCUAGAAACAACUUUCAGUGAAUGAUGUGUGGUAAACUGCUUUGUAACCUUCACAGCUGUCCCCUGUUUUUAGGAAUAUACUGUUUUACUUUGAUUCCAAUUUUUCUUUAGGCAAACAAAACAGGUUUCCUCUUCCCACAGAGACAUAGAAGGUUGAUGCUCUUGUCACAGCAGUUGCCAGGGAAGGCUAACUUAAACAAAGCAGGGGGCAAUUGCAAUAUAAAGUUGGCUUGACUGGGUCAUGACCCAAACUUUGAAAGCCACUGUGGUAGUCCAUAUCUUUCAUCUGAGCAGGUGAAGAAAGUGUCCUUGAAAAUAAAACUCAAGUUUCUGGUGAGCAUACUCUGUUCUUAAUAGAGCAAAAUAGUCUGUGUAGAGGUAGACCCUUUCUGGGAAAGAAACAAAAGGUAUUUGAAUGUAUAAUCCCUUCCUUCCAGGCUUUACAGUAUUUAGGUUAUGAAAAAGUAAAAUCUACAUAACCAAGUUCAUCUGUAGAAAUGCAACUUAAGGAUACCACAGUGCUUUAACUACAGAAGAAUCUCCUCGUGUAUCAUGGAUGUCUUUCUCCUCAGUUCGAUACCAGUUACAUGACACGAACAGGAAGUAAAAUAUACUGCAAAUCUUAGCCAUUAAGUUUCUAGAAAUCCUAUUGCUGCUGCAGCAGACCCUUACUAGGAACUUCCUGGCAGCAGUGGGGAUACAACUGAGAUCUUCCUGAUCUGGAACUCAAGCCCCCCUCACUUUAGCUAGAGGAGAAUGUAGUACAGGAAUUAUCCUGUAUAGUGAAGUUUUCACUCUAGCAAACAGCACAUGCAAGUCAGCUCCUUACAAUGUUAUCCAAUAGACACUUCAGGGAGAGUGAUACAGGUGAUAUGCAACUUCUAAACGUGAGGCUUGCCCUCACUAUCAGUUAACACUUGCCCUCAGGAAAAAAAAAACAAAACCAAAAACACACAUGACCCAGGGCUUAUCUUUAUCUGUACUCUACCUCCCUUAAUUCCAAGCCAGAUGAUUUGGAGCAGCAGGAAGAGUGCCAAAUGCUGACUGGUCAACAUUACUUUGAGUUGACUGUUGUCUAGAAAGGUCCCCUAGCCAAGUAGUGAUCUAAUGUUACACUCCAGAGAUUUUUUUAAUCUAAACAGGCUGAUCACACAAGAUUGUAUGGAUACAGCCUGAGCUAGCACCUUAUAACUAUUUCAUGGUUUUGAAAUGCUGAGAACUAUUUUCAAGCCCAGAAAAAUUCUUGAGCACAAAGCUAUUUUGAAGAAGAUUGAAAGUAACCCAUGGAACUCCAGUUAACAACCCCCAUCCAUUCCCCCCCAACCCCGUCCAACUUAAAGCCCAAAUGUUUUAGUCUGGAAAUGAACUAUGAGCGCUAAUCUUACUGCUAUUGUGCAAGUCUUCCUCUACUGCCCACUGAACUUAACUCAGCUCCCUGAAAUUUGCAAAGAUAUUCAUGUAAAGGGGAAGAUAGCUGUAUACAAAAAGGCAAAAAUUCUAUUUCCUAUUCAAGGGAUUAACUUUCAA